UACAGAGGGGGCAAGCGUUGUUCGGAAUUACUGGGCGUAAAGCGCACGUAGGCGGUUCGUUAAGUCGGAUGUGAAAGCCCUCGGCUCAACUGAGGAAGUGCACCCGAAACUGGCGAGCUUGAGUACGAAAGAGGGUCGUGGAAUUCCCAGUGUAGAGGUGAAAUUCGUAGAUAUUGGGAAGAACACCGGUGGCGAAGGCGGCGACCUGGUCCUUGACUGACGCUGAGGCGCGAAAGCGUGGGGAGCAAACAGG
rnacentral:rRNA from 1 species